AAUCAACGCUGGCGGCGUGCCUCAGACAUGCAAGUCGAACGCGAAAGUCCCCUUCGGGGGACAAGUAGAGUGGCGCACGGGUGAGUAACACGUAGGUAAUCUACCUUUGGAUGGGGAAUAACAACCGGAAACGGUUGCUAAUACCGCAUAAUGCAGCGGCACCUAAUGGUGACAGUUGUUAAAGCGGGGGAUCGUAAGACCUCGCGUCUAAAGAGGAGCCUGCGGCAGAUUAGCUAGUUGGUAAGGUAAUGGCUUACCAAGGCGAUGAUCUGUAGCCGGCCUGAGAGGGCGGUCGGCCACACUGACACUGACAUACGGGUCAGACUCCUACGGGAGGCAGCAGUCGGGAAUUUUGGGCAAUGGGCGAAAGCCUGACCCAGCAACGCCGCGUGAAGGAUGAAAUCCUUCGGGAUGUAAACUUCGCAAGAACGGGAAGAAUAAGUAAGAGCUAACAUCUCUUAUGAUGACG
rnacentral:rRNA from 1 species